GUAGAUACUACCGUGGUAUCGAUAAUAUCGAUAUUUGGAUCGAUCACCGCCACCUCUACUAUUUGGAGCAUUUUUGUGUCCUCCAAUGUACAGCCUUCAAGUCUUCCAAAGCUAUGCGAGGAACAAACGGAUCACAUGGAGAAACGGAAAAACAUUCUUACUGUCUAAAAUACAAACAAACGACAACAACGUGGUGGGCAGCGAGACGCCCGCAUCUUAACUUUGAAAACGAAAGCGACUCUACAACAUGUCCAUGAAUGCAUCUAGACUGCGUUCUGACUGGAUGAGUGAGCAAGGGAACAGGAGGUAGGCGAGUGUAUGCAGUGAGUCUCACUGGCGAUAAAAAAGGAAGGAGGAGGACAAAUUGCUUUUUUGAUGCUAAAGGUUGCCGACCCCUGCCUUAGGGCUAAUGGCUUUUUUUUCUCCUGGAUCAGGACGUCUGUGAAACGGACAGUUUCCUCCUCCAGCCCCUCCACAUCUUGAUCAGUUUUUUGGAGCUAUAAGACACUGUCUUCCACAAGCCUGUACGGGGAGGAAGAACACAUUGAGUAUCAACAAAUAUCAUUUAAAAGCAUCAAAUGUGCAAUUAAAUAAGCUUACCGGCUGUUGCAAUGCCUUUGAUACUUUGUGUUAUACUGGAGGAUUUCACAAUAGAGGAGAUACCUGAGGAACAUAACGUGUAUGGUUAGUGUCUCCUGCUGGCGUUUAGGUAGAAUGCAAGUCGGAAACACACAAAACAAGUCUAUAUAAUAAACAAUGACAAAGAGUGUCCCAGUCACCUUGCUGUACAACAGUUCCACAGUCUGGGUCCUGAGCCACUUGCAGAAGAAUCUCCUCCACGUCUCGGUUCUUCCCUGGAGGAUCAACCAGCUUGGUGAUCCUUUGCUGCAAGGUGCGAGGAAGCGCCAUCAACUGCGUGAACUGGCCCUCUGGGCUUUUGUCUACCUGGAGAAACAGUCAAGACCUGAAAAACACUUCAAUGGUUUUGGUCAAUAGUCCAAUAGUCUUUAUUUUACCUCCAGUUUUCCUUGUUGGGGUUUGUAGACCACUUGCGGACAAUCGCGUAAGAUGUUACUAUACAGAAUCCGGAAGCGUUCAGUGUUGUCUUUGACAAUAUUGGCCACCUUGGAUUUAUCCUCUCCAAUCACCAUCCUGAAAUCACCUUGAGAGGACCAGACCAAAUGUUUUCCUUGAUGGAUUGCAAUUCUGAGGAGUUAAAGCGGGCAAACACAAGGCAACAGCUGCAGCUGCUUCAUCUGUCAGUUUAAUGUGUUUGUAAGGGUUGCAUUAUUACUGGACAAAUUAAUUGCUUCUCAAUUUGAUCAUUAAUAAAACUU